rnacentral:rRNA from 1 species
CGAUCCAUGAGUAAAGUGGCGACCGGGUGAGUAACACGUGACUACCUACCCUUGAGUGGGGGAUAACCUCGGGAAACCGAGGCUAAUACCGCAUAAUAUCGAAAGAUCAAAGGAGUAAUCCGCUUUUGGAGGGGGUCGCGGCUGAUUAGCUAGUUGGUAGGGUAAUGGCCUACCAAGGCGAAGAUCGGUAUCCGGCCUGAGAGGGCGCACGGACACACUGGAACUGAAACACGGUCCAG